CGCCGCUACAUGCAACCGUCGAAUGAAGACGAAUUUUCCGACUCUCCCCCGACCAGUAUAAAUAAACGGACGCGAUCGCGAGUCACAAUAUAUAGCGAGACAUAGCGAGCACAUAGUGAGUUCAUAUACAGUACAUAUCGAGUAUCUAACAGCAUCUACAGUGUCUUCGAGUAUCUAACGAGCAUCUAUCAAGUCACGCGAUGAGCAUUUACGAGUAUUUAUUCCGCGAUUUUAUUUUGCGAUUUACACUUCAUACUAACGACUAACGUCUACGUUUGUAUAUUAAUUUAUUGUCUUAAAUAUAUUCGACGGUUACAACAACAAGUAAUCUCGUCAUUAAUCCUCACGACCUACGUCCUCUUCACACAAACAUCUACACUUACAUUAAAGAUAAACAAGGAAGUUUUAAUUUGUGGAAGCAUUGCAACGAAGAUUGGAAACCUCUAACGAAGAUCAAAUGGAUAACGCAAAGUGGAACAUCAAAGUUAAAAGCUUCAUCAGCUGAACGAAAAUAUUCUUUGACACAGGAUCUAUAUAACUAUCACAUAAAACAUAGUGCAAAAUACCAAUGUUUUCCUACAAUUAUCCGUUCCACAGUUCUUUUCCAACUUGGUUUUGAAAUUCUGCUAAAACCCUCAAUUACUUUUAUACCAGAAAACAUACAUAUUAAUUGAUUCAUUACUUCGUGGAAGAAUAAACCAUUAGAAAAAGGAAACGAAAAGUAAUAGGAAGAUAAAUUCAAAGAGGACGAAGCUACUUUUUCUAAUUAAAAUUCUCAAGUAACAGCAUUUUCGUUUUAAUGUAUAAAAAGUGCCUUUAAAAUAUAUGGACUAAAAAGUAUUAAAAAAUGCAAGUUGAGGGGAGGGGAUGAAAUUUUCUGUAAUUAAAGUUCUAAAGUAUUAAAGCUCAUGAUAAUAUUCUCUUUACAGUUAAAGAAAGGAAAUGGUGGUUCGGAAAAGGAUGGGACAUUUAUUAUACGAAACUCAUUGUUUUAUCUAGCGCGUAAGGACACAAUUAUUUAAAAAGCAUCGAAAUAAUGGAAUUUUUAAAGUAUAAAAGUUUUCGUUUCUAAGUUCGUUGUAUGCUUAAAAGAAAAAUAUGUAAAAAGGCAUGGGGAAACGAAAUCGAAGACAAUGAAACUUUUUUCAAAAGGAUAGAGCUAUUUCUCGAUUCACUGAUCAAACGGUAUAACUACGGUAAAACAAAUCGAAAUAUACAAAGUUGUUUUACGAUUAAACAUUAAAAAAGACGAAAAAAACAAAUUUGAGGGGAUCUUUUUGCUGCACGUGUUGAAAACACAUCGACGCAAGACAACCAGAAUGUUGCACCAAAUCGGCAACGUAUUGUGUGAACUAACACACACUGCCAUACGAUCUCGAGCGCUAUAGAUCGCUCAGAUCUGCCGUGAAGCAUACGUAAAACGCGGUCGUGGAAUAUUGCACGCACGUACGCACGUUCCUAGUGCGUACGCCUGUAAUAUGCGCGCGCUACCACGUUUCGUCAGCCGAUUUAAUCAUUAAUUUAACAACGAACGUACCGGUGGAUUCUGUCGAACAAUCGGCAGGACGGUGUAAAAGUACACGGUAAAUAAUGCGCGUCAGAGAACCGAACCAUGUUUCACGGAUGCUUCCAUUUUGAUUUAACGUCCACUCAUGACCGCUCACUCGCUUGAC
rnacentral:misc_RNA from 1 species